rnacentral:rRNA from 1 species
GGAGUCAGACUGCGAGUGAUAAGAUCCGUAGUCGAAAGGGAAACAGCCCAGAUCACCAGUUAAGGUCCCAAAAUCUAUGCUAAGUGGAAAAGGAUGUGGAGUUGCGUAGACAACUAGGAUGUUGGCUCAGAAGCAGCCAUCAUUAAAAGAGUGCGUAAUAGCUCACUAGUCGAGUGACGCUGCGCCGAAAAUUUACCGGGGCUAAGCAUAGUACCGAAACUGUGGAUGUGCAUUGAAAGAGAUGUACGUGGUAGGAGAGCGUUCUAAAUGCGGUGAAGGCUGAUCGAGAGGACAGUUGGAGCGUUUAGAAGUGAGAAUGCCGGUAUGAGUAGCGAAAGAUAGGUGAGAAUCCUAUCCGCCGAAAGACUAAGGUUUCCUGGGGCAGGCUCGUCCGCCCAGGGUAAGUCGGGACCUAAGGCAAGGCCGAAAGGCGUAGUCGAUGGAUAACAGGUAGAAAUUCCUGUACUGCGUUUAAUCGUUAAUAGCGAAGGAGGGACGCAGGAGGCAAGGAACGCAUGGCGCUGGAAGCCAUGUUCAAGCGAUAAGUAUGAGAGUGAGUCAAAUGCUUGCUUUCGGGAAGUAUGAGUCGUGAAGAGGAGCGAAAUAAAAGUAGCGAAGGUUCUGUAGUCACACUGCCAAGAAAAGCUUCUAGUGAGAGAGAACGUACCCGUACCGCAAACCGACACAGGUAGUCGAGUGGAGAACACUAAGGUGAGCGAGAGAACUCUCGUUAAGGAACUCGGCAAAAUGACCCCGUAACUUCGGGAGAAGGGGUGCUGAUAGUAAGAUAUCAGCCGCAGUGAAUAGGCCCAAACAACUGUUUAUCAAAAACACAGGUAUCUGCAAAGUCGUAAGACGACGUAUAGGUGCUGACACCUGCCCGGUGCUGGAAGGUUAAGAGGAGAGCUUAGCGCAAGCGAAGGUUCGAAUUGAAGCCCCAGUAAACGGNUUGAAGCCCCAGUAAACGGCGGCCGUAACUAUAACGGUCCUAAGGUAGCGAAAUUCCUUGUCGGGUAAGUUCCGACCUGCACGAAAGGUGUAAUGAUUUGGGCACUGUCUCAACGAGAGACUCGGUGAAAUUAUAAUACCCGUGAAGAUGCGGGUUACCCGCGACAGGACGGAAAGACCCCAUGGAGCUUUACUGCAAUUUGAUAUUGAGUAGCUGUUAAACAUGUACAGGAUAGGUAGGAGCCGGAGAAGAUAGUACGCUAGUAUUAUCAGAGGCAAUGUUGGGAUACUACCCUUGUUUGAUGGCUGCUCUAACCUUGACCUAUAAGCUAGGUCAGGGACAGUGUCAGAUGGGCAGUUUGACUGGGGCGGUCGCCUCCUAAAGAGUAACGGAGGCGCCCAAAGGUUCCCUCAGAAUGGUUGGAAAUCAUUCACAGAGUGUAAAGGUAUAAGGGAGCUUGACUGCGAGAGAGACAACUUGGGCAGUUUGACUGGGGCGGUCGCCUCCUAAAGAGUAACGGAGGCGCCCAAAGGUUCCCUCAGAAUGGUUGGAAAUCAUUCACAGAGUGUAAAGGUAUAAGGGAGCUUGACUGCGAGAGAGACAACUCGAGCAGGGACGAAAGUCGGGCUUAGUGAUCUGGUGGUACCGCAUGGAAGGGCCAUCACUCAACGGAUAAAAGCUACCCUGGGGAUAACAGGCUUAUCUCCCCCAAGAGUUCACAUCGACGGGGAGGUUUGGCACCUCGAUGUCGGCUCGUCGCAUCCUGGGGCUGAAGUAGGUCCCAAGGGUUGGGCUGUUCGCCCAUUAAAGCGGCACGCGAGCUGGGUUCAGAACGUCGUGAGACAGUUCGGUCCCUAUCCGUCGUGGGCGUAGGAAAUUUGAGAGGAGCUGUCCUUAGUACGAGAGGACCGGGAUGGACAUACCGCUGGUGUACCAGUUGUCUUGCCAAAGGCAUAGCUGGGUAGCUAAGUAUGGCAGGGAUAAGCGCUGAAAGCAUCUAAGUGCGAAGCCCCCCUCAAGAUGAGAUUUCCCAUUUGAAAAAUAAGUAAGACACCUCAAAGACUAAGAGGUAGAUAGGCUAGGAGUGGAAGAGCCGUGAGGUUUGGAGCGGACUAGUACUAAUCAGUCGAGGACUUGACC